GAUAACAUUUAGAACCGCAUGGUUCUAAAGUGAAAGAUGGUUUUGCUAUCACUUAUAGAUGGACCCGCGCCGUAUUAGCUAGUUGGUAAGGUAACGGCUUACCAAGGCAACGAUACGUAGCCGACCUGAGAGGGUGAUCGGCCACACUGGAACUGACACACGGUCCAGACUCCUACGGGAGGCAGCAGUAGGGAAUCUUCCGCAAUGGGCGAAAGCCUGACGGAGCAACGCCGCGUGAGUGAUGAAGGUCUUCGGAUCGUAAAACUCUGUUAUUAGGGAAGAACAAAUGUGUAAGUAACUAUGCACGUCUUGACGGUACCUAAUCAGAAAGCCACGGCUAACUACGUGCCAGCAGCCGCGGUAAUACGUAGGUGGCAAGCGUUAUCCGGAAUUAUUGGGCGUAAAGCGCGCGUAGGCGGUUUUCUGAUGUGAAAGCCCACGGCUCAACCGUGGAGGGUCAUUGGAAACUGGGAAACUUGAGUGCAGAAGAGGAAAGUGCAUGUGUAGCGGUGAAAUGCGCAGAGAUAUGGAGGAACACCAGUGGCGAAGGCGACUUUCUGGUCUGUAACUGACGCUGAUGUGCGAAAGCGUGGGGAUCAAACAGGAUUAGAUACCCUGGUAGUCCACGCCGUAAACGAUGAGUGCUAAGUGUUAGGGGGUUUCCGCCCCUUAGUGCUGCAGCUAACGCACACUCCGCCUGGGGAGUACGACCGCAAGGUUGAAACUCAAAGGAAUUGACGGGGACCCGCACAAGCGGUGGAGCAUGUGGUUUAAUGCAACGCGAAAGAACCUUACCAAAUCUUGACAUCCUUUGACAACUCUAGAGAUAGAGCCUUCCCCUUCGGGGGGACAUAGUGACAGGUGGUGCAUGGUUGUCGUCAGCUCGGUCGUGAGAUGCUGGGGGUCCUCGCACGAGCAGCAACCCCGUAAACUUUACUAGUCAUUUUAGCUCGCGGCCACUCGUAAGUUGACUGCCCG
rnacentral:rRNA from 1 species